UACGGGGGGGGCAAGCGUUGUUCGGAAUUACUGGGCGUAAAGGGCUCGUAGGUGGCCAACUAAGUCAGACGUGAAGUCCCUCGGCUUAACCGGGGAACUGCGUCUGAUACUGGAUGGCUUGAGUUUGGGAGAGGGAAGCAGAAUUCCUGGUGUAGAGGUGAAAUUCGUAGAUAUCAGGAGGAACACCGGUGGCGAAGGCGGCUUCCUGGCCAUUCACUGACGCUGAGACGCGAAAGCGUGGGGAGCAAACAGG
rnacentral:rRNA from 1 species